UUGGAGCCAGACAGACUAGAAUGUGGGCCUUGCUGCACCACUUAGCUAUGUGGCCUUGGUCACACUGCUUUACCUAUCUUUCAAUACUUUAAAUAUUGCACUCCACCCUCUCCUGGUGUACAUGGUUUCUGACAAGAAGUCUAGGAAGUUUCUACUGACAUCAUCAUCUUCAAGUUCAAUGACUCUUUUCUCAGUCAUCUUGAGUCCACCAUGGGCCCUUCAAAGAUUUCCAAAUGUUGGGCUUUGAGAGGAAUGGCACAAUACAGGAAAAAGACAGAAAUCAAAAAACUUGUAAAACCUUUUCCAUCUAAGAGUUGAAAAUUGAAUUGGAGGCACUUUACCAAGCAAAGUUAUCAAAGCAUGCAAAAAAAAAGAAUAUUUUAGUACAAACAAAAAUAGUACACCAUAGAGUAAGUUUUGAGCAUCUGAGGCUCACUAAAAAAUCUGAUAUACCAUCCAAAGCUCACUGGCCUGCCAAGAGUUAGAAUUUUAUUCCUAAGCAGUUAGUUUCCUAGAUUCACAGACAGAAGGUCCUUCCAAUCCUAUACGAAACUGUCAAGGAGACAGAAACAAUAAAAUGAGAUUUAAAGAUCCAAAGAAUCAGCAAUUCCAUUGAUUCUCCAUUUAAACUAACAAAACAAAACAGAAGGAAAAGAAAGAAAAUAAUGUUCUGGCUGAGGCCACUUUAGAGAAAUGAUAGAACUUUAAAAAAAGUUUUUGUUACCCCAUUUCAAACAUUCUCCUUUCACUAAAACAAAUAAAAUUAGGUGAUUUUGAAAAUUAACUUGAUUCUAAAAUAGAAAUUCUUUCUUCUUUUAGCUAACAUAACUAUGUUUUCUAAUCUGGAAAAAAUAAAUUAUUCCAUUAGAGCAAAAAAAUGCCACAAAUAAAUACAACUUCAAUGCACAUAAUCUUACAGAAAAAUUUUAUAAAUAGAACAUAAUAGCCCCUAUCAUAGAUUUAUGUAAUUUUUCUUACCAAUAUUACCAAUACUUGUAUCAAGAUAAAUCCUUAAAUGUUGAAGAAAAGCUGGAUAUGAUGGAUAUCCAGUAAAUUACUCUUCCUUUACAACUUAAAAAAAAAAUGCAAGAUUAAAGAUGAGUUAUUUAGAACAUAUGUAUGUUGUACAUCAACUGUAGUUCAAUUUUAAA